CUCAGUGUAGCCGAAACAUUUGAUCCUUUUAACAGAAAGGAGAAAUGAAUAAUUUAGAACUAUAAUGAAGCUUCCAAAAUAUCUAGGGGCAGGGAGACACCAGCAAAUACCAAGAUCGCAUGAAUGCCUAAACAGAGCAGUCCACAGUAAGCUAUGAGCAUCCAGCCCUCAAACUGGAAAAGACAGCGGAGUGGUGGGUUGAUGAAGAAUGGAGUAACAAUAAAGGAGGCAGAUGAACAACAACAAAAAAAGAUUGGACAGGUUCUUUAUGUUUUGAGUACCAUGGGGCGAAGUAUACAUUUUAUUUUUAGAAGACUCCUGAGAGAAAGUAAAGGCUCAUAGAAUGAAGCUCAUACAUUUAUACAGACUUGUUUCAUUUGAAUUUCAAAGGUUUCUUCCAGUCCAGUUUGGAUUCACCACAACCAUGCCAACACAAUCUGUUC
rnacentral:lncRNA from 1 species